rnacentral:rRNA from 1 species
AAUAAGUUCAUCUGGAUCAGAGAUUUGUUUGAGAAAAGAGCAUAGAUUAUUUAGAAGCAUCAUGUAAUUAUUCAGUAACGUCGAGUGAAGAGUGGGAGGAAUCCAUAGCAAAUAAGUACCGUUGGGGAAAGAGAUGGUUAUUUUUAAAGUAAGGAUUGGUUCCUGUACCUUUUGCAUCAUGGAUUAAUAAUAACACAUUGAGUAUCUCAAUCUGCCCGAAGCGUGGGGUGAGCUAUUUUGUGAAAUUUCGUUAGUGUAAAAGAAUCUAAGGAAUUAUUAUAAAAUAGAGGUGAGAUGCUUGUCGCACCGCGCGAUAGCUGGUUGAUCGAGAAAGCUAUAUGAGUAGUGCACCUAUUUAAUGAGGGCUAUACUGUUUGAUGGCUACCUCGUAAUAUGAAGUGUCAGCCCUUGGAGGAUAAGCUCUGUGGGUGAUAGAAUAAAAGAGUGAAGUACAGGUGUGGGUUGUAGGAUUAGUAUUUUCCAUCAAUGUAGAGAUUUUUAUAAAUCACAUACGGUUAAUAGACAAUUAUUAUCUAUUUAUUUUUAUUACAUAUCGAUCUAAUAACAUGUAAUUAGCGGGAAUGUAUGUAAAUAUGUUAGUAUUAGUAUUUGACAACAGAUAGUGUGGUUUAUGUAAGCCCCUAUGGGCUGGGGACUAGAAGGGGUGAAAUACACAGUAGGCAAUAGGAAGAAACACAAUAAAGGAACUCGGCAAAUACUUGCUCCGCCUGUUUAUCAAAAACAUGUCUCUUAGCUUCAACAAAGUAUUGAGAGUCUGACCUGCCCGGUGAUGCGAGUCAUUUAACGGCCGCGGUACCCUGACCGUGCAAAGGUAGCAUAAUCAUUUGCCUUUUAAUUUGAGGCUUGUAUGAAUGGUCGAACGUGGGCACGACUGUCUCUUUUGUGUUCCAUAGAAUUUGAUUUUUAAGUGAAAAAGCUUAAAUUUUUUAGAAAGACGAGAAGACCCUGUUGAGCUUCAAUUUUAUUUUUGAGGAAAAUGUGUAGAGGUUCAACGCAACCUCAUUAUGAAAAUUUUUGUUGGGGCGACAGAGGAACAUGUUAAGCUUCCUUACAAUAACGAAGUUUUCACAAAAUAAUGGAAUUGACCCAAUAUUAUUGAUUGGUGGAUUUAGCUACCACAGGGAUAACAGCGUAAUCCUCUUUGAGAGCCCAUAUCGAAAAGGGGGGUUGCGACCUCGAUGUUGGACUAGGGUAACAGGAGGGCGGAGAGGCUCUCUGUUUGUUGGUUUGUUCAACCAGUAAUUCCCUACAUGAUCUGAGUUCAGACCGGCGCGAGCCAGGUUGGUUUCUAUCUUCUAUACAGAUUAUUUUCGGGCUAGUACGAAAGGAUCGUUCUGAGAUAAACUAAAAGUUUAAUAUUAGUUAAUGGGACAAGCUAAUUUUUAGGUUAAAUA